AGGCCUUGAGGUCAAAGGCUCGGGGUGUGGCCCCCUAAGAUAACCACCUGCUUCGGUCUGGGCACCCGGGCAGUAUCGCAGCCCACACGCAAAUGAUGAACUCUCUAUAUCUAUGGAAACUACUUUUCUCGCAGUCAGGUGCUUCCUUCAGACAACCGGCAUAAUAUCGAUGCUGCCUUUUCACAAGGAAGGUUGGGGUUAGAAAAGGUCGAUCCUAAAAAUGCACAUCUCACCUUAUCCCACGGAUUUUUUUAAAAUUUUUGCUUAUCAACUACAAUCGAUUGUUUAUAUUUUGUUUAUUUACUUAUUUAUUAAUCAUAGUUGUUUAUUUAUUGAAUAUUGAUCAACUAUAUGUUUAUCCAAUUGUUAAUGGUGUAUUCAUCGAUUGUCUUCGAUCAUUUAACGUAAAUCAUACGAUAUUGAACCAGUUAAUCAGAAUAAACAUGGAAACAGUGGUAACUCCUUAAACUAAUUAAUGGAUUACUAUGUCUAUGUGAUUUCAUUGUAAACACCGCUUGUCGACACUACCGAUUGAAUGGUUUAGUGAGGUUGUUGAAUGAGUAUCAUUAUAGUGGCUAUUGUCAUUCGACUAACGCUGAGAAGAUGACCUGAUUUAACUAUUCAAAGGAAGUAAAAGUCGUAAUAAGGUUUCUGUAAGUCAACCUGUGGUAGGAUCAUUA
rnacentral:ncRNA from 1 species